rnacentral:lncRNA from 1 species
UUUUUCGCCACAGGCUUAACGGGACAGCUGACGUAGCCACCUAACUGGCCACGAUGGAAACUCAAUUAACCUAAACCCAAACCACGGUGGAAACCACAGCUUCUCUACCUUCCAAUCUAUGCCAAAACCAGAAACAAAUAUUGCAACCCAACUGUUUGUGGAAAUGUCACAAUGAGCUACCCUUUUAGAUUUUCAACCUAACCUCUCAACUCCGGCGACCAUUAGUUCGAACUCGAUUGUGAUAGCAAAAACCACAUCAUUUUAUCCUUAAACUAUGACAGAUUCUACAUCCAAAGCAUCUACCAUGGCUAGUUAACAGUAAAAGAAAAAUAAGAUGAAAUGGAGAUGCCAAACAAAAGGUAUGACGGUUUAAGGGUUGUUGACCCCUACCACUGCCAUAGAUGUUGUCCCCGCUGCUACCAAUACUCUGCCUGUCGCCUUUGUUUUCUCUUCUUCUUCUUCUUCUUCUUCUUCUUUCUCCUCUUCUCGCAAUUCUUCUCAUUUCCUCAACACAAAAAGAAUAAACCAACGUUAUACGAGUUUUCAAGCAGAGAUGAGAUGAGAUGGUGCAUUUGGCUGGAUAUAGUGAGAAAAGCUCUUGACCAUUCUCGUCAUCAGAAUUGUUCUUUGUGAAGCUUGCCCCACCGCCAUCGCCGUAAUCCAAAACCUCAUGCUGCUGAACAAUUCUAGAAAUUUUCUUUUCUUCUUCUUAUUCUCUUCUUCUUCUUAUUCUCUUCUUCUUCUCUGCUUCUUCUUUUGCUUUUACAGAAAAUAAUUAAAAGGACUGAUUUGUUAUUUUUUAAAAGUUGAGUGACUGAAUUGAAGUCAAAGCGACUGUUUUGUCAACUACACUAAAGUUGAGUGGCUAUUGGUGUAAUUUAUCUUUAUUUUAUUUAUAUCAUAUAUUAAAUCUAUUGGCUUAACAGAUAUUAGUUGGACGGAAGUUUUAGGGAGCGCUACUUACAAUCAAACUUUCCAUGAGAUCCUG